AGAGUCGUACAGGAAAGGAAUAGCAAACCAUCCUGGCCCCGAGCCAUGCGAGGGCGGUCGAGAGGCUGCACUUGAAGCGUUGGACAGGGGUAUCUGUAGGCUGGGUAUAGAGCUCCGAAAUCGCCCGUUGUGGGGAGCUGACGGCGUCGGGCUGUACGGAAGGCAACAAGGUGGACCGCGAUAGUGCGAGUGGGCUACCACCCGACGGAGUCGCAGACCC
rfam:Environmental sequence XZS68065.g1, whole genome shotgun sequence.